AACGAACGCUGGCGGCGUGCCUAACCCAUGCAAGUCGAGCGGGAAAGUUCCCUUCGGGGGGCGAGUACAGCGGCGAACGGGUGAGUAACACGUAGGUAACCUACCUUGGAGACUGGGAUAACCUGCCGAAAGGCGGGCUAAUACCAGAUAAGACCACGAGAGCUGCGGCUCUUGGGGCAAAAGAUGGCCUCUGCUUGCAUGCUAUCACUCCGGGAUGGGCCUGCGCGCCAUUAGCUAGUUGGUGAGGUGAUGGCUCACCAAGGCUGAGAUGGCUAGCUGGUCUGAGAGGAUGGCCAGCCACACUGGGACUGAGACACGGCCCAGACUCCUACGGGAGGCAGCAGGUGGGGAAUAUUGCGCAAUGGGCGAAAGCCUGACGCAGCGACGCCGCGUGGGUGAUG
rnacentral:rRNA from 1 species